rnacentral:lncRNA from 1 species
AAUUUGAAAGGUUGAAAAUUAGUAUUUUUGGAGGGUAAAAUGAUAUUAUAACUAAAAUAUUAAUUGUAGUUCAGGAAAUACUAUUGUGAGUGAAAUUUAUAAAUAUGACAAUUUUAAUAUUGUUGUUUGAAAAUUUGAGGAAUUUUCAAAAUUACAAAAGAGUAGUGAAAAAUAAUUUUUGAUACACAAUUACGCAAAAAUUUAUAUAAUUUUAAGCCUCAUUAUCCUUCUUUAUCAAUCAUUAUCUUUUUAUCCCACCUACUCCAACCAAUCAUUAUCCUUCUUUAUCAAUCAUUAUCUUCUUAUCCCACCUACUCCAACCCCACCUACUCCAACCAAUCAUUAUCCUUCUUUAUCAAUCAUUAUCUUCUUAUCCCACCUACUCCAACCAAUCAUUAUCCUUCUUUAUCAAUCAUUAUCUUCUUAUCCCACCUACUCCAACCAAACACUAUUUUUCAUUAUUCUAGACUAACUCCAACCUCCAACCAAACACAAAAAAACUUUAACCCCACUUUAACCCUGAACUUAACCCUAUACCUGGAAUAGCUACUUUUUUCUUAACCCCGAACCAAACGGAGGCUCAGGAAUUAGCCACUCCUUA